rnacentral:rRNA from 2 species
UACAGAGGUCCCGAGCGUUGUUCGGAUUCAUUGGGCGUAAAGGGUGCGCAGGUGGCGGGGUAAGUCUGAUGUGAAAUCCCGGGGCUCAACUCCGGAACUGCAUUGGAUACUGCUUCGCUUGAGUACUGGAGAGGAGACUGGAAUUUACGGUGUAGCAGUGAAAUGCGUAGAGAUCGUAAGGAAGACCAGUGGCGAAGGCGAGUCUCUGGACAGUUACUGACACUGAGGCACGAAGGCCAGGGGAGCAAACGGG